UUCCGCUUUUAUCUCCGUCCUUUUCUACCCCAUAUCUUGCAUCUCUCUCGCACAUCGACCAGUUUCACUCCCCACCAGGCAGGAGGCGACGAGUGUUCUCGGCGGCCACAGUUCAUCAUUGGCGUCUUGUUUUCCGCCCGAGAAGGUUGGUCUAACCAACCGCUGUAGUAUUUCGUUGAAAAAUAAACUCAGUGCUCUCGCAGAACACAGAAUGAGUGACUUAUAAAGCAAAUACAGAUGCGGUAAAUAAUAAAGCUACCACAGCCCGUGCACGUGACUAUGGAAAAGAAAGCAAGCCCGAAGUUCCUAAGGCACCUGUGGCCCUAGUUCAAUCCUGCAAGGCGUUCAACGGUUUGACAAAAAAGAAUGGUGUGAGGUGCGGUCCAACCAGCAUCUCCUUAGUUCGGACUGAUCACUACCGCACUUGAAGAGGGCUGAUGGUGUCAAGAAAGCUUUUCGGCCUUGAAAGACUUGGUACGCUCCCCUCGGACUACCAGUAAUUCUGUUAGCCACCCCCCAUGGGGGUCGGCUCAUUAUCAUGGCGUGUGAUGGUUUUCGGCCUUGAAAGACUUGGUACGCUCCCUUCGGACUGCCAGUAAGUCUGUUAGCCACCCCCCGUAGGGGUCGGCUCAUUAUCUCGGCGUGUGAUGCUUUUCGGCCUUGAAAGACUUGGUACGCUCCGCCUAGGACUGCCAGUAAGUAUGUUAGCCACCCCCCGCAGGGGUUGGCUCAUUUUCACGGACCCGCGCAGGGUACCAAUCUUGCAUGUUGCGAGACGCAGCAUCAUUACAAAGUGGGGACCAGUAAGUAUACUAGCCACCCCCCACAGGGGUCGUUUCAUUAUCACGGACUCGCGCAGGGUACCAAUCUUGCAUUUUGCGAGUCGCAGCAUCAUUACAAAGCAGGGACCAGUAAGUAUACUAGCCACCCCCCGCAGGGGUCGGCUCAUUAUCACGGACCCUCGCAGGGUACCAAUCAUGCAUGUUGCGGGUCGUACCAUCAUUGCAAUCUACCCUCGCAGGGUGGCUAUUUGGAUCGACUUUCGAAGAGUCGCCAUUAUAACCUUCCCUCGAAGGGAAAUGGUAAUCACACUCACGCUGAAUGGCGUGUGACGCAAAACUCUAAAGGCUCCCUUGGGACAUCACGAGUAAAUUACAAUAAGAACCAUGUCCAACAGACGAAACAAAGCGUCCAGGACCGCAAGCGGACUUUGAUGCGUCCAACAAGGCACGUAAGUUAUGACUUUCGAGGCGGGUUGCCUAACAUUAUAUCAAGACCAAUGGAAAGAAAUGGGAGCUCCGCCUUUCUUGUCAAAAAUAAUAACUGGGUAUCGGAUACCAUUGGCCAAAAGCAAAGACUAUAAAACCACUUGACUGCGCAUACAGUGCCCCGACGCUCGCCAAAAGUUAGUGAUUUUGCGCGUACUAUAAGGCUACGAUCAGUACGAUCCUUUAGUAGCGACCGUGAACUGACCAAUAGUAGCCGCGGAUUAUGCCGCGUCCCCCCGCCCGCAGUGGUGAGUCGUGUUCUUAGAAGAAAUUGGCGAGUGCGCUCUCUAGUGGUUAUUUACUUUAUGGC
rnacentral:lncRNA from 1 species